GGCCAAGGAGAUUCCCUCUCCCGGGGGCCGCACCGUGCCCCUUCUGGAACGUAGCUCCUUGGUAGAGCAGCGAGCGGGCUCAUGGGGGAAAGGGCCUGAUGUCGCCCCUCCCCGUCAUUCACGCCCCCACAUGC